GGAGUUUGAUCAUGGCUCAGGAUGAACGCUGGCGGCGUGCUUAACACAUGCAAGUCGAACGAACCUUCGGGUUAGUGGCGGACGGGUGAGUAACGCGUGGGAAUCUGCCCUCAGGAGGGGGAUAACGGUUGGAAACGACCGCUAAUACCCCAUAUGCCGAGAGGUGAAAUGAAUUUCGCCUGAGGAUGAGCCCGCGUCUGAUUAGCUUGUUGGUGAGGUAAUGGCUCACCAAGGCAUCGAUCAGUAGCUGGUCUGAGAGGAUGAUCAGCCACACAGGGACUGAGACACGGCCCAGACUCCUACGGGAGGCAGCAGUGGGGAAUUUUCCGCAAUGGGCGAAAGCCUGACGGAGCAACGCCGCGUGAGGGACGAAGGCCUCUGGGCUGUAAACCUCUUUUCUCAAGGAAGAAGAUAUGACGGUACUUGAGGAAUAAGCCACGGCUAAUUCCGUGCCAGCAGCCGCGGUAAUACGGGAGUGGCAAGCGUUAUCCGGAAUUAUUGGGCGUAAAGCGUCCGCAGGCGGCCUUUCAAGUCUGCUGUUAAAACGUGGAGCUCAACUCCAUCAUGGCAGUGGAAACUGAUUGGCUUGAGUAUGGUAGGGGCAGAGGGAAUUCCCGGUGUAGCGGUGAAAUGCGUAGAUAUCGGGAAGAACACCAGUGGCGAAGGCGCUCUGCUGGGCCAUUACUGACGCUCAUGGACGAAAGCCAGGGGAGCGAAAGGGAUUAGAUACCCCUGUAGUCCCGGCCGUAAACGAUGAACACUAAAUGUCGGGGGAAUGGACCCUUUCGGUGUGGUAUCUAACGCGUAUAGUGUUCCGUCUGCGGAGUACGCACGCAAGUGUGUAACUCAAAGAAAUUGACGGGGGCCCGCACAAGCGGUGGAGUAGGUGGUUUAAUUCGAUGCAACGCGACGAACCUUAACAGGGCCUGACAUCCUGCGAACCUUUAAGAAAUUAGAGGGUGCCUUCGGGAACGCAGUGACAGGUGGUGCAUGGCAGUCGUCAGCUCGUGUCGUAAGAUUUUGGGUUAAGUCCCUCAUCGAGCGCAACCCACGUUUUUAGUUGCCAGCAUUUAGUUGGGCACUCUAGAAAGACCGCCGGUGAUAAACCGGACCAAGGUGUGGAAGUCGUCAAGUCAUCAUGCCCCUUACGUCUGGGGCUACACACGUACUCCAAUGGUACGGUCAAAGGGCAGCAAACUCGCGAGAGCUAGCAAAUCCCAUAAACCGUGGCUCAGUUCAGAUCGUAGGCUGCAACUCGCCUACGUGAAGUAGGAAUCGCUAGUAAUCGCAGGUCAGCAUACUGCGGUGAAUACGUUCCCGGGCUUUGUACACACCGCCCGUCACACCAUGGAAGUUGGCCACGCCCGAAGUCGUUACUUUAACCCUUGUGGAGAAGGACGCCGAAGGUGGGGCUGAUGACUGGGGCGAAGUCCUAACAAGGUAACC
rnacentral:rRNA from 1 species